rnacentral:lncRNA from 1 species
GCUGUGGAGAUGAGUGAUGGGCUGCCAUUCUGGUCCCGCCACUGCUUCUUCCUCUAAAAGCAAUUUAGAGGAGAGCCAAGAGGAACAGAGCCUACCCCUUUAAUUAGCCUGCGGAGCCAGGCAAGGUAAAUAUUUGUGACUGAAACAGUGUGGAUCCAUGGAAGCUGGGAUUUUAGCCUAGAAGCCUUGUGCUGCCAAGUUGCCAUGAGACCAGAAAGCUGGAGCUAUGUUUUGCCUCAGAAAGUGCUUCUGAGUUGAAGAGAAGUGGGAAGGAAAUCAGCAGUAGAAUUAAGCGUGUGUAGGGUGACCGUAUGACUGAUACUCAAACUGGGAUGGCUGUUAGUACAUAUGUAAGGAAAACAGAUGCAAGGAGGACUCUCCCAGGAAAACCAAGAUGUAUCCAUGAGACCCUGCUAGAUCUGGCUGCGGCCCCAUCGCAAACACCCGCUGCAAGGUGGGCGGGGAUUUUAUCAGUACAGUAAAGUCUGCUGUAUAGACAGCUAGUCAUUACAAUCCUUUG